UGGUCAAGUUAUUAAGGGUGCAGGGCGGAUGCCUUGGCACUAGGAGCCGAUGAAGGACGUGAUAAGCUGCGAUAAGCUUCGGGGAGUUGCACGUAAACUUUGAUCCGAAGAUUUCCGAAUGAGGAAACUCACUUAGAGUAAUGUCUAAGUAUCAUUAAGUGAAUACAUAGCUUAAUGAGGGGAACUCAGGGAACUGAAACAUCUAAGUACCUGAAGGAAGAGAAAGAAAUUCGAUUCCGUAAGUAGCGGCG
rnacentral:rRNA from 1 species